AGAGAAAGAAGUCCAAAUCCUCUGGACCGGAAGGACAGUGGGAUUGCAUUUCAAGCUGCGAUACAAUCCAGAGAUUAGCUGCUGUCUUCUUUUCAGCCAGUCCCCCUGGGGCCCAGCUCACUACCCUACUCUUCCUCCAGCGACCCUCCUACCCCGACAGACCCCAGCACGGGGGCCUGCGUCUUCCGAGAGACCUUGAGGUGAGCUGCCCUGGCAGCCUCAUCAGAUCUCACUGCAUGGUGAGGAGGGAGAGUGUCCUCGCCUAGCCCUGCGAAGGCGAUCCAUCUGGACACCUACACCUGCCAGUAAGACCACUGAAGAUAGUUCUAAGAGGAAACAGCUAAGGAGGGUGUCUCGAGGCCCCUUCUGAGGAAAACCAGAAGAGGACAGGAGCGGGCCGCCGGAGGCAGGGCUUCUCCUCGCGUCUCGGAUCCGCUCCUCUGCUGCACGCCGACGGUGCCAGGUCUCCUGGAGCGCCUCCUACCCGCCGGCCGCAGACCUCCCGCGCUGGGGCGAGAGGUGGGGCACUCUCCAUCUGCCUUUGCCUGCUCGGCCGGCCCCACGUUCGAGAGCAGGGAGAGAGAUUUCCACAGCCUGUCAUCUGCCAGGGGACGAACAGAACAGACAAGGCUGCGGGCUCCUUAAGGAACAGGACCUUGCCUCGUGGUGGAGGUACUUUGCCUUGUGAUGUUACCCCGUAACAAGGGAGGGGGGCAGAGCAAUGUACUCCAGCUUGUUUGUCCACUUCUUAGAAAGAGCACUUUUUCCUACUGUUAUCAUUGUGAACAGUGAUUGAACACCUACCAAAACUGGCAAAGAAAUGUUAAGACUCCCUGCCCUCAGGCAGUUUAUUUCAGGAGACAGAGUAGACGAAAAUAAACAGCUGACAAUUCUCA